rnacentral:rRNA from 1 species
UUYUCAUUGAUAUUUAAUAAWGAGUCAGACCUSCCCAGUGGGGUAAAUYUAAACGGCCGCGGAAUUUUAACCGUGSUAAGGUAGCAUAAUCAUUUGUUCUUUAAUUAAGGACUUGUAUGAAUGGUUAAACGAAAUAAAACUAUCUAUAAAAUAUUAUAUAAAAAUUAUUUUUAAAGUGAAAAAACUUUAAUAAAAUAAAAAGACAAAAAGACCCUAUAGAGUUUUAUUCAUUAUAAUAAAUAAAUAUAAAUGAAUUUAGUUGGGGCAACUAAUGAAAAAAGAAAUUUCUUUUAGCUAAUUUUAAAUAUAAUCAUUAUYUUAAUAAUUUAAAAUAAAUUACCUUAGGGAUAACAGCGUAACUUUUUUUGAGAGUUCMAAUCGAAAAAAAAAAUUACGACCUCGAUGUUGGAUUAGAGUAACCAAAAAWAAAAAAAAAUUUUUUUGGGCAGCCUGUUCDACUGAUAAUUCUCUACAU